rnacentral:rRNA from 1 species
GAUGAACGCUGGCGGCGUGCCUAAUACAUGCAAGUCGAGCGAACAGACGAGGAGCUUGCUCCUCUGACGUUAGCGGCGGACGGGUGAGUAACAUGUGGAUAACCUACCUAUAAGACUGGGAUAACUUCGGGAAACCGGAGCUAAUACCGGAUAAUAUAUUGAACCGCAUGGUUCAAUAGUGAAAGACGGUUUUGCUGUCACUUAUAGAUGGAUCCGCGCCGCAUUAGCUAGUUGGUAAGGUAAGGGCUUACCAAGGCAACGAUGCGUAGCCGACCUGAGAGGGUGAUCGGCCACACUGGAACGGAGACACGGUCCAGACUCCUGCGGGAGGCAGCAGUAGGGAAUCUUGCGCAAUGGGCGAAAGCCUGACAGAGCAACGCCGCGUGAGUGAUGAAGGUCUUCGGAUCGUAAAACUCUGUUAUUAGGGAAGAACAAAUGUGUAAGUAACUAUGCACGUCUUGACGGUACCUAAUCAGAAAGCCACGGCUAACUACGUG